GAUGAACGCUGGCGGCAUGCCUAACACAUGCAAGUCGAACGAAGGCUUCGGCCUUAGUGGCGCACGGGUGCGUAACGCGUGGGAAUCUGCCCUCAGGUUCGGAAUAACAGCGAGAAAUUGCUGCUAAUACCGGAUGAUAUCGCGAGAUCAAAGAUUUAUCGCCUGAGGAUGAGCCCGCGUAGGAUUAGCUAGUUGGUGUGGUAAAGGCGCACCAAGGCGACGAUCCUUAGCUGGUCUGAGAGGAUGAUCAGCCACACUGGGACUGAGACACGGCCCAGACUCCUACGGGAGGCAGCAGUGGGGAAUAUUGGACAAUGGGCGAAAGCCUGAUCCAGCAAUGCCGCGUGAGUGAUGAAGGCCUUAGGGUUGUAAGGCUCUUUUACCCGGGAUGAUAAUGACAGUACCGGGAGAAUAAGCUCCGGCUAACUCCGUGCCAGCAGCCGCGGUAA
rnacentral:rRNA from 1 species